rnacentral:rRNA from 1 species
UACGUAGGGUGCGAGCGUUAAUCGGAAUUACUGGGCGUAAAGCGUGCGCAGGCGGUCUGUUAAGACCGAUGUGAAAUCCCCGGGCUUAACCUGGGAACUGCAUUGGUGACUGGCAGGCUUUGAGUGUGGCAGAGGGAGGUAGAAUUCCACGUGUAGCAGUGAAAAUGCGUAGAGAUGUGGAGGAAUACCGAUGCGAAGGCAGCCUCCUGGGCCAACACUGACGCUCAUGCACGAAAGCGUGGGGAGCAAACAGG